UGGUUCCUGCUCUACACGCUCCUGGCUCACUACCUGAGGGCCUGACCUGGGGACUUGGACGGGCCUCACCCACCAGACUCCCCUGAGGAAGUGGCCUGCUCCCGGAGUUCAAGCAUCCGCCUGCUUGGAAACUGUGACAAUGUGCACUGACUUCCUGGGUUCCUUCUGCCCUACUCUGAAAGUCUGGACGCCAGGGGACAGGGAGCUGCUCAGUGAUGGUGAAGAAGAAAGUCUGAACUGAUAACGAAGGAGCCAGGCAGAGGAAGGCUAGCUCCAGGGAGCCUGGCCGACCUGGCAAUUAUUUUUUAUGACAUGGCAGAUAUUAUGUUGAUGGUUUCAUUUCUGGUUAUUACCUUCUAUUAAAAAGCAUCUUGAGGAAGAUGA